ensembl:lncRNA
UCUGGGUUUUUAUUUUAGGAUACAUAAAGAGGAUGCUUCAUAGACAACAAUAAUUAAGAGAUCUGCAAUAACCUUUAACCUCACGGAACAAUGUAAACAAACAUAGCAAUGAUUCUACUGUUGUUAAGGGUUAACAGGAAAUCAGCUCUCUCUCUAUACAAUACUGAUUGGGCUGGUUAACAAGACAGGUAUCAUCAUCACUGUCAUCAUCAUCAUCACUGUCAUCAUCAUCACCGUCAUCAUCAUCACCGUCAUCAUCAUCAUCAUCAUCGUCAUCAUCACUGUCAUCAUCAUCAUCACUGUCAUCGUCAUCAUCAUCAUCAUCAUCACUGUCAUCAUCAUCACUGUCAUCAUCAUCAUCACUGUCAUCAUCAUCAUCAUCAUCACUGUCAUCAUCAUCAUCACUGUCAUCACUAUCAUCAUCAUCACUGUCAUCACUGUCAUCAUCAUCAUCAUCAUGGCCAUAUUAUAAAGCUUCUACAGUGCUGAUGCUGAAGCCGUCUCCUUGGUGCUACUGCUGCUAUCUCAACCUGUUCAUAACAUUUAAAAACAACAACAGGCAUUCAGAACCACGUCGACACCUUGUGCUGUACAUCAAUAAUGAGUCCAGUCGUUUCAGGAGGAAACCGGAUGAAUAUGGCAAGAUGCACUCUAAUACGACUACGUCCCAAACAAGUCAACGAAUAUAAUACAUCUUUUUAUAUUAGCGGUCCUGACUGCAAAAAAAACCUGCCUUCAAUUUAAACAUGGGUAUAUCUGUAGGUAAGUAUGGUUAUGUGUUAAUAAGUAGGGGUUUAAAAUAGACGGUUAGCCCUGACGUACAGAGAGUCUGGAACCCAGUUCUCCAUUCCUUCAACCCCAAAGGAAGUUCAGGAACAACAACAUGCAGACACCCUACAUCAUCUAAUAUAAUAUUCUUCCUUCACAAAAUCCCAAAUGUCUGACUUGGAUUUAUCUCAACCCCAAAAAAGGAAACAUAAUUGUUCUGUUUAAAAAGAGCUAGGACACUCAGAGGACAUCUCAAGGGUCAGGGGUUAAAAAUCGGUGUGCGGCGGCCAUUUUGUAUCACUACAACAUGGUUUAGGUUAGCUUGCUGAUAACCACUCCUGUUAGGUGUGUUUGUCCUGAAAUAUCUCACUGUGCCUUCCUCUGUUAGGGAGUUGGAGGGUUUGUGUGAUAUGACCUAAAAUAUGACUAUGUUUUGUGCUUGUGCCUUUUUGCAGGCGUAUCAUUAGGACAUUACUGGGACAUGAGGAAUGCUAGGACUGCUACAUGAGCAAUGGGACAAAUUCAAGUGUGUGUGUUUGAGUAUGUGUUAAAGGGAUACUUCGGGAUUGUGGCAGUGAGGCCCUUUAUCUACUUUCCCCAGAGUCAGAUAAACUCCUGGAUACCAGUUUUAUGUCUCUGUGUCCAGGUUGAAGGAAGUUAGAGGUAGUUUCACGAGCCAACGUUUCC